UACUUAUUUUGCUAUCUUUUUCCUUAAUCAUUUUUCUUAAAUCUCGUUUAUUCGUCCCUGUAAUUCCUCUGUGAAAGUCGGGGGCUCAACCCUCGAAAGCCGGUGGAUACUGUCGGGCUAGAGUACGGAAGAGGCGAGUGGAAUUCCUGGUGUAGCGGUGAAAUGCGCAGAUAUCAGGAGGAACACCGAUUGCGAAGGCAGCUCGCUGGGACGUCACUGACGCUGAGACGCGAAAGCGUGGGGAGCAAACAGG
rnacentral:rRNA from 1 species